rnacentral:rRNA from 1 species
UCGUGCCAGCACGCCGCGGUAAUACGGAGGGUGCAAGCGUUACUCGGAAUCACUGGGCGUAAAGGGCGCGUAGGCGGAUUAUCAAGUCUCUUGUGAAAUCUAAUGGCUUAACCAUUAAACUGCUUGGGAAACUGAUAGUCUAGAGUGAGGGAGAGGCAGAUGGAAUUGGUGGUGUAGGGGUAAAAUCCGUAGAUAUCACCAAGAAUACCCAUUGCGAAGGCGAUCUGCUGGAACUCAACUGACGCUAAAGCGCUG